AGGCCUGAGUGACUCUUGGGACAGAAGGCAAUUCAGCUUAGACAUCUAAUGUUGAUACUACUAGCAUAAGGCCCAAAGAAAGGCCACAAAAAUGGUGAAAGGCCUAGAGAGGAAGCCACAUAAGCAGAAGCUGAGGUGACUUGGUCUGUUCAGCCUGGAGAAGAGGAGUCUGAGCUGACAAGAUGCCAUAGGAUCCAGCAACAACAACAUAUGUGGCAAUCUUCAGGCAUUCUGAGUGGAAGGCACUUAGCACAGGAGUAUAACUCAAAGUAACUAUACACUUAUUUCUGGAAGUAUUUUGACAUUUGCAGCCAACUGCAGUCUAAUAGACUGAGCUAACAGAAACAGAACUGUUCUUUUGCAUAUGGUAAGGACUCAUUGUUUAGAAGCAAUCUGGUGCCUAUAAUGCAAUUUUGUGACAGCUCUACACAACGUUAACACCAGAUAGUGUUUGGAUGGUAGGAGCAAGCCGUGUACUCACUCGUGC